rnacentral:rRNA from 1 species
AAUUCGAUGCAACGCGAAGAACCUUACCUACUCUUGACAUCCAGAGAAUUUGCUAGAGAUUAGCUUAGUGCCUUCGGGAACUCUGAGACAGGUGCUGCAUGGCUGUCGUCAGCUCGUGUUGUGAAAUGUUGGGUUAAGUCCCGCAACGAGCGCAACCCUUAUCCUUUGUUGCCAGCGAGUAAUGUCGGGAACUCAAAGGAGACUGCCGGUGAUAAACCGGAGGAAGUGGGGAUGACGUCAAGUCAUCAUGGCCCUUACGAGUAGGGCUACACACGUGCUACAAUGGCAUAUACAAAGAGAAGCGAACUCGCGAGAGCAAGCGGACCUCAUAAAGUAUGUCGUAGUCCGGAUUGGAGUCUGCAACUCGACUCCAUGAAGUCGGAAUCGCUAGUAAUCGUAGAUCAGAAUGCUACGGUGAAUACGUUCCCGGGCCUU